rnacentral:rRNA from 1 species
GAGGCGAACCGGGGGAACUGAAACAUCUAAGUACCCCGAGGAAAAGAAAUCAACCGAGAUUCCGAAAGUAGCGGCGAGCGAAAUUGGACUAGCCCUUAAGCUUUACACGCGUUAGACGAACGGUCUGGAAAGUCCGACGAUACAGGGUGAUAGUCCCGUAGUUGACGACGUGUGUUCAGUGAAAUCGAGUAGGGCGGGACACGUGAUAUCCUGUCUGAAUAUGGGGGGACCAUCCUCCAAGGCUAAAUACUACUGACUGACCGAUAG